UACGUAGGGUGCAAGCGUUGUCCGGAAUUAUUGGGCGUAAAGAGCUCGUAGGCGGUUUGUCGCGUCUGCUGUGAAAACUCGGGGCUUAACUCCGGGCCUGCAGUGGGUACGGGCAGACUAGAGUGUGGUAGGGGAGACUGGAAUUCCUGGUGUAGCGGUGAAAUGCGCAGAUAUCAGGAGGAACACCGAUGGCGAAGGCAGGUCUCUGGGCAUUAACUGACGCUGAGGAGCGAAAGCAUGGGGAGCGAACAGG
rnacentral:rRNA from 1 species